CCAUGGGAGUGGGCUGCACCAGAAGUGGUUAGUUUAACCGCCCUUUCUUCGGAGAGAGUGGAGGACGCUCACCACUUUGUGGUUCAUGACUGGGGUGAAGUCGUAACAAGGUAGCCCUAGGGGAACCUGGGGCUGGAUCACCUCCUUAUACGAAGAUACC
rnacentral:rRNA from 1 species